rnacentral:rRNA from 2 species
UGGGGAAUAUUGCGCAAUGGGCGAAAGCCUGACGCAGCAACGCCGCGUGAGGGAAGAAGGUCUUCGGAUCGUAAACCUCUGUCGGGAGGGAAGAACGGCAUGGGGUCGAACAGGCUCUGUGAUUGACGGUACCUCCAAAGGAAGCACCGGCUAACUCCGUG